UACGUAGGGGGCAAGCGUUGUCCGGAUUUAUUGGGCGUAAAGAGCGUGUAGGCGGCCAGGCAGGUCCGCUGUGAAAACUCGAGGCUCAACCUCGAGACGUCGGCGGAAACCAUCUGGCUAGAGUCCGGAAGAGGAGAGUGGAAUUCCUGGUGUAGCGGUGAAAUGCGCAGAUAUCAGGAAGAACACCCGUGGCGAAGGCGGCUCUCUGGGACGGUACUGACGCUGAGACGCGAAAGCGUGGGGAGCGAACAGG
rnacentral:rRNA from 1 species